AUUCUCCUCUAUUUUGUAUGUGUGUCACCAACACAGCAUGGCUGCCAAUGAGUGGUGUAGGUCCACGGCCAGGGGCUGAACCCAGAUCACCGAAGCAGAGUACACUGAACUGAACCACUAGGCCAUGGGCCCAGCCCCCAAACACUAAUUUUGAAAAACACUAAUUAAGUCUAACAUUCUGUUUUAUAGGUGACACAGCUGUUGCUCUGAGUGUUUAAACAACUUUCCUAAACUUGUUUUAAAUUUAGAAAUGUCUCCAAAUUCCUAACCUGGAGGGUCUCUUUUUUCCUUUAUACAACUGUCUUUAUAACAUAUCUAUCAACCCAAAGAAGCUACAUCCAUGUUCAUGUUCCCCCUCUGUGCCUUUGUUGGGCUUUUGUGACAAAAAAUUGCCAGACAACUGUGACUGUGUAAUGACCAUUAGAGACAGCAUCAGAAGACAGGCUCUAGUCCUAAUUUCAAGUUACUACGUGUGAGUUGAGUCUAGAUAUGCAUGCUUACUUGUGUGCCAUACAGGCUUGUGGGGAGUACUUUUCAGCUUACAUACUCUCUAUGAUAAUGCUGGAGUUGUUAUCAGUAGAUGUUGUAUAUGUGCUCUGUGGCCUCUAAAUCUGGCCCCUGCCUCUUUUGACAUCUUCAUUUAAUAUCAGGGCACCCUUGAUGAUUUUGCAACAAUCAUGCUGACCUUUUGAAUUCUCAUGCACAAUAAAAUAUUCUCUGCUUCUAGGUCUUUUUGUUCCCUUUGACUGGAAUAUUUUCCUACUAAUCUUUUGCGGCUGGAUCCUUUUUAUUUUUCAUGUCUCGUCAUGUCCCUCCUUGAUUAUCUCGUCUAAAAUAGAUUCUUCUAAUUAUUAUCUCAUAUCACCACCUUGAUUCUUUUAUUAUUAGUAUUUCUUACAAAAUGUAGUUAUGUUGUUACUUUAUUUCUUCGUUUAUUCUCUGUCCCCAGAAUCACCAUGAGAGAGGGAGCCUUUCUAUCUUGUCCAGUGCUGUAUCUCCUGUGCCUGACAACAUGGUGGAUGCUCAUGCUUGUUAAAUGUUUAUUCAAUAGUGGAAGGAAGGAAGGGUUCAUUAAGGCUUGUAUCCCAUUCUCCUCACAUGGCAGUGCUCGCUGCUGCAUGUGAAGACACACCUCAACAUUUGGAGUCCUCUUUAGAUAAUCUGAGAUGAGGUGAAGAAGAUCUCUCACCGUUUUUUCUUCCUCUCCCCUCAUUCUGGCCCAUGAGUCUGGUUAUUGGAGCAUGAAGCUGUCUCUUAAAUGCAUCUUUGUUCACCUCAUGGUUUGGGAAAUAAAAUGUAUUUAUUGAUUAA